rnacentral:misc_RNA from 1 species
GAACGCACAUUGCACUCUCUGGUAUUCCGGAGAGUAUGCUUGUUUGAGUAUCUGUAAACAUCUCAAAUCUCUCUGCGCUUGCGUUUGAGAGAAUUGGAUUUGAGCGGUCCCGACUCUUUCAUCAGAAAGAGGAGGGUAGCUUGAAAUGCAGGUGCAGCUGGACAUUCUUCUGAGCUAAAAGCAUAUCUAUUUAGUCUGGUGAAACGGAUUAUUACUUUUGCUUCAGCUAAUAUAAAGGUCGAAUGAACUUCCAACGCUGAUUGCAGGAAAACUCGUUCGUAACUGAACUUGUAAACUCGAUCUCAAAUCAAGUAAGACUACCCGCUGAACUUAAG